CAGUGGAGAUGAAUUAGCAUCUUUCAAAUUCAUGUCCUCAUUAUCCCCCUUUGCUUUUCUCUUACUAGAUUUUAUGGGCGUUGACUUUUCCCCAUUCUCUUGCUUGGUUGUUGACUUCUCCCCAUUCUCUUGCUUGGCUGUUGACUUUUCUCCAUUCUCUUGCUUGGUUGUUGACUUUUCCACAUUCUCUUGCUUGGUUGUUGACUUUUUCAGAUUCACUUGCUUGGCUGUUGACUUUUCUGGUGUGGGGCCCGGGGUUGGGGUACUUACUCCACUUUUGUGCUGUUCAGGGUGCUUAGAACUCCUACGAGCAUUUUCAAACCACUUGCUG
rnacentral:lncRNA from 1 species